CAGCAUGGAAAAAAACGUGCAGGAUUUUUUGUGACGCUCUUGGUCGUUUGCUUACUGGUCACAGAGGCCAUGUCCUUACCACCAAAAGCGCUAUUGGGAUUAUUGCUCGUCUGCGUGUCGGCUUUCCAAGUCGAUGCACAUCAUGAUGCGAUUCCAAGAGAACCUACAAUGUGGCCAAGAAAUCCACAAAGAAUGGAAAGGGAAGGUCCUAUGAUAGCAAAUCCUCUAGCUAUAUACCCAAGGGGAGCUGCUGUGAUGGAAACAACCCAACAGUGAAACUAAGGGGAGCUCCUAUGUUGCCAAAAGAUUAGUCAAGAGGAGCUCCUAUGAUGCAAACAUACCUACCAGUGCAAGAGGACUCCCGUGAUGCAACAGACCCACCAGUAUUGACAAGGCGAUCUCCUAUGAUGCCAAACAAUCUACCAAUGACGGCAAGGAGAGUUCCAAUGAUACCAAAAAAUCCAACAGUGAUGGAAAGAUGAUCUCCAUUUAAGAUGAAACCUCCAUUAUAUUUAUGGCGAUGAUGGAUAUCUGGUGCAUUAUCCAUGAGUCACAUUCCAUGUAAUACAAAUGAUUGGAAAUCUGCAAUUAAUAAAAAACAAACAAACACAUAAAA